UACGUAGGGGGCAAGCGUUGCCCGGAUUUAUUGGGCGUAAAGAGCGUGUAGGCGGCCAGGUAGGUCUGCUGUGAAAACUCGAGGCUUAACCUCGAGAUGUCGGCGGAAACCAUCUGGCUAGAGUCCGGAAGAGGAGAGCGGAGUUCCUGGUGUAGCGGUGAAAUGCGCAGAUAUCAGGAGGAACACCCGUGGCGAAGGCGGCUCUCUGGGACGGUACUGACGCUGAGACGCGAAAGCGUGGGGAGCGAACAGG
rnacentral:rRNA from 1 species